GGCUUCAAGUAAAGCUCCAGACCUCACAGCCUGCCUGCUCUGGCUGGCUGUUUCCACCUUUCCUCCUCGGACUCACCAGGCACCAAGCUCCCCCUUCUGGUUCACCUGGUCAAAAACCUGAGUUUUUCCACCACCUCCUGGUUUCCACAAACACCUUCCAUCUCUUUUGUAAAUAAAUCACAACAAACUGUG